UAGCUCAACUGGUAGAGCACGGCAUUAACACCAGCCAGGGUUAGGGGUUCGAAUCCCACCGGGGACCGCCCA